UUGUCGAUAUUCCGACUGGUACAAUAAAGACUGAAGAUCAUAAGGUCGCCGGUUCGAUCCCGGCUCGUGGCAAU